GAUAUACAUACAUACAUACAUACAUACAUACGUACGUACGUACGUAUGUAUGUAUGUAUGUAUGUAUGUAUGUA
rnacentral:pre_miRNA from 1 species